UUAAGUGACUAAGCGUACACGGUGGAUGCCUAGGCAGUCAGAGGCGAUGAAGGACGUGCUAAUCUGCGAUAAGCGUCGGUGAGCUGAUAUGAAGCAUUAUUAGCCGGCGAUGUCCGAAUGGGGAAACCCAGUGCAAUCCGUUGCACUAUCGUUAAGUGAAUACAUAGCUUAACGAGGCGAACCAGGGGAACUGAAACAUCUAAGUACCCUGAGGAAAAGAAAUCAACCGAGAUUCCCCCAGUAGCGGCGAGCGAACGGGGAAGAGCCCAGAACCUGAAUCAGUUUGUGCAUUAGUGGAAGCGUCUGGAAAGUCGCGCGAUACCGGGUGAUAGCCCCGUACACGAAGGUGCACAGCUGUGAGUUCGAUGAGUAGGGCGGGACACGUGUUAUCCUGUCUGAAUAUGGGGGGACCAUCCUCCAAGGCUAAAUACUCCUGACUGACCGAUAGUGAACCAGUACCGUGAGGGAAAGGCGAAAAGAACCCCGGCGAGGGGAGUGAAAUAGAACCUGAAACCGUGUACGUACAAGCAGUGGGAGCAUCCUUCGGGGUGUGACUGCGUACCUUUUGUAUAAUGGGUCAGCGACUUAUAUUUUGUAGCAAGGUUAACCGAAUAGGGGAGCCGUAGGGAAACCGAGUCUUAACUGGGCGUCUAGUUGCAAGGUAUAGACCCGAAACCCGGUGAUCUAGCCAUGGGCAGGUUGAAGGUUGGGUAACACUAACUGGAGGACCGAACCGACUAAUGUUGAAAAAUUAGCGGAUGACUUGUGGCUGGGGGUGAAAGGCCAAUCAAACCGGGAGAUAGCUGGUUCUCCCCGAAAGCUAUUUAGGUAGCGCCUCGUGAACUCAUCUUCGGGGGUAGAGCACUGUUUCGGCUAGGGGGUCAUCCCGACUUACCAACCCGAUGCAAACUACGAAUACCGAAGAAUGUUAUCACGGGAGACACACGGCGGGUGCUAACGUCCGUCGUGAAGAGGGAAACAACCCAGACCGCCAGCUAAGGUCCCAAAGUCAUGGUUAAGUGGGAAACGAUGUGGGAAGGCACAGACAGCCAGGAUGUUGGCUUAGAAGCAGCCAUCAUUUAAAGAAAGCGUAAUAGCUCACUGGUCGAGUCGGCCUGCGCGGAAGAUGUAACGGGGCUAAACCAUGCACCGAAGCUGCGGCAGCGACACUAUGUGUUGUUGGGUAGGGGAGCGUUCUGUAAGCCUGUGAAGGUGGCCUGUGAGGGCUGCUGGAGGUAUCAGAAGUGCGAAUGCUGACAUAAGUAACGAUAAAGCGGGUGAAAAGCCCGCUCGCCGGAAGACCAAGGGUUCCUGUCCAACGUUAAUCGGGGCAGGGUAAGUCGACCCCUAAGGCGAGGCCGAAAGGCGUAGUCGAUGGGAAACAGGUUAAUAUUCCUGUACUUGGUGUUAUUGCGAAGGGGGGACGGAGAAGGCUAGACCGGCCGGGCGACGGUUGUCCCGGUUUAAGCGUGUAGGUGUGAUGACCUGGCAAAUCCGGUUAUCUUUAACACUGAGGCGUGAUGACGAGGCACUACGGUGCUGAAGUGGUUAAUGCCCUGCUUCCAGGAAAAGCCUCUAAGCUCUAGAUAACACUGAAUCGUACCCCAAACCGACACAGGUGGUCAGGUAGAGAAUACCAAGGCGCUUGAGAGAACUCGGGUGAAGGAACUAGGCAAAAUGGUGCCGUAACUUCGGGAGAAGGCACGCUGGCAUGUAGGUGAAGUCCCUCGCGGAUGGAGCCGAAGCCAGUCGAAGAUACCAGCUGGCUGCAACUGUUUAAUAAAAACACAGCACUCUGCAAACACGAAAGUGGACGUAUAGGGUGUGACGCCUGCCCGGUGCUGGAAGGUUAAUUGAUGGGGUCAGCCGCAAGGCGAAGCUCUUGAUCGAAGCCCCAGUAAACGGCGGCCGUAACUAUAACGGUCCUAAGGUAGCGAAAUUCCUUGUCGGGUAAGUUCCGACCUGCACGAAUGGCGUAAUGAUGGCCAGGCUGUCUCCACCCGAGACUCAGUGAAAUUGAACUCGCUGUGAAGAUGCAGUGUACCCGCGGCAAGACGGAAAGACCCCGUGAACCUUUACUAUAGCUUGACACUGAACAUUGAACCUUGAUGUGUAGGAUAGGUGGGAGGCUUUGAAGUGUGGACGCCAGUCUGCAUGGAGCCGACCUUGAAAUACCACCCUUUAAUGUUUGAUGUUCUAACCUGGUCCCGUAAUCCGGGAUAGGGACAGUGUCUGGUGGGUAGUUUGACUGGGGCGGUCUCCUCCCAAAGAGUAACGGAGGAGCACGAAGGUUAGCUAAUCCUGGUCGGACAUCAGGAGGUUAGUGCAAAGGCAUAAGCUAGCUUGACUGCGAGAGUGACGGCUCGAGCAGGUGCGAAAGCAGGUCUUAGUGAUCCGGUGGUUCUGAAUGGAAGGGCCAUCGCUCAACGGAUAAAAGGUACUCCGGGGAUAACAGGCUGAUACCGCCCAAGAGUUCAUAUCGACGGCGGUGUUUGGCACCUCGAUGUCGGCUCAUCACAUCCUGGGGCUGAAGUAGGUCCCAAGGGUAUGGCUGUUCGCCAUUUAAAGUGGUACGCGAGCUGGGUUUAGAACGUCGUGAGACAGUUCGGUCCCUAUCUGCCGUGGGCGUUGGAAGAUUGAGAGGGGCUGCUCCUAGUACGAGAGGACCGGAGUGGACGCACCGCUGGUGUUCGGGUUGUGAUGCCAAUUGCAUUGCCCGGUAGCUACGUGCGGAAGAGAUAAGCGCUGAAAGCAUCUAAGCGCGAAACUUGCCUCGAGAUGAGUCUUCCCUUGGACCUUGAGUCCACUGAAGGAACGUUUAAGACUAAGACGUUGAUAGGCUGGGUGUGUAAGCGUAGCGAUACGUUGAGCUAACCAGUACUAAUGAUCCGUGAGGCUUAACCUU
rnacentral:rRNA from 1 species